AUUAAGACACCUGUUCAUCUCUUUACAAGGACAAUAAGUAACAAUUACAGUACAUGUAGGGUUAACAAUGAGUACAUUUGAAGAUUACAAUACCACGUGUAAUGGUUAUGAUGACAAUCGUCAGCCGCUAGGUGCUGAUAUUGUUGCUGGAAUGAUGCAUGUUUACAAUAACAAACCGCUGAAGGAGCUUCAUCUGCUCGAUGCCGGAUGUGGGACCGGUAACUAUACAAAAUCUUUAAUCAAUUAUGGCGUCGGUAAAGUAAACGCUAAUGGACGCUUCCAC